CAGAGGUUUUCACACUAUUUGUAAGAGAAGUCACCUGACUUUGGGAAAGGUAGACUUUUUCUUUAGGCUCUAAAAUUUAGCCAAAGCAGAUUCAAGCUUAGCAGCCUUCACAGUGCAUUGCCCUUUUACAGCCUCUGCCUCAACUUUAGCUUUCUUCCUUUUCUCCUCAGCCUUUGUAGAUUUGUCCACAAACUCUCAGUUUCGCCUCUGAAAAUCCUUAAAACAGGCUUCAGCCUUAAUGGCCAUUUCAAAAGCACUCUCACUUUGGCUCACCAGUGUUGCUAAAAGGUUCACAGCGUCAGUAAUUUCCACAAAGUUUUACCUCCUAUCAGUCCAGUACCUAUAGUAGGAAACAGUGGCAGUUUGGACUUUCAGAGGCAGCAGCGAUAACACCUCAGGGAUGAGUUCAUCAUUUUUUCCUUCAAGAGGAUGGCAGUGCUAGCAGAGGAGACGUCAUUAGUAGAAGGUCAGUUCUUUUCUAAGUUUUCUCUAUCCAGCUUUUCCCCCCUGGCCUCUCAGACCCCCUCUUGUCACAGCAAAGGAGAUAGCCAUUAACUUGGGAUAUAGGGAGGCAGGCUGCCAGUAAACCCUACAGAACCUCCUACUCCGAUAGAGGAAGAGAAUAAAUAUGUCUUCUUCUAGGGCAUAUCUACCACUUUUCCUUUGCCCAUAUCAUUAGGAGUGUCUUCUUUUCGAAGUCCUUUUCAACACUGUCCUUG
rnacentral:lncRNA from 1 species